GUUUCGGGGCGGAGUGCAAUUCUCCACCGGCGGUGAAAGUCCGCGAGCCGCAUAGGCUGAACCGGUGCAAUUCCGGUACCGACGGUAUAGUCCGGAUGAAAGAAU
rnacentral:ncRNA from 1 species